rnacentral:rRNA from 1 species
UACGUAGGGUGCAAGCGUUAAUCGGAAUACUGGGCGUAAAGCGUGCGCAGGCGGUGAUGUAAGACAGGUGUGAAAUCCCCCGGGCUUAACCUGGGAACUGCAUUUGUGACUGCAUCGCUGGAGUGCGGCAGAGGGGGAUGGAAUUCCGCGUGUAGCAGUGAAAUGCGUAGAUAUGCGGAGGAACACCGAUGGCGAAGGCAAUCCCCUGGGCCUGCACUGACGCUCAUGCACGAAAGCGUGGGGAGCAAACAGG